rnacentral:rRNA from 1 species
UACAGAGGGUGCGAGCGUUGUCCGGAAUCACUGGGCGUAAAGGGCGCGUAGGUGGUGGCUUAAGCGUGCGGUGAAAGCUCGGAGCUCAACUCCGAGUCGGCCGUGCGAACUGGGCUCACUGGAGCAUAGUAGAGGCAGGUGGAAUUCCGGGUGUAGCGGUGGAAUGCGUAGAGAUCCGGAAGAGCACCGGUGGCGAAGGCGGCCUGCUGGGCUAUGGCUGACACUGAGGCGCGACAGCGUGGGGAGCAAACAGG